UGAGGAAUAUUGGACAAUGGGCGCAAGCCUGAUCCAGCCAUGCCGCGUGCAGGAAGAAGCAUCUAUGGUGUGUAAACUGCUUUUGUACAGGAAGAAACACUCCCUCGUGAGGGAGCUUGACGGUACUGUAAGAAUAAGGAUCGGCUAACUCCGUGCCAGCAGCCGCGGUAAUACGGAGGAUCCAAGCGUUAUCCGGAAUCAUUGGGUUUAAAGGGUCCGUAGGCGGUUUAAUAAGUCAGUGGUGAAAUCUGGUCGCUCAACGAUCAAACGGCCAUUGAUACUGUUAGACUUGAAUUACUAGGAAGUAACUAGAAUAUGUAGUGUAGCGGUGAAAUGCUUAGAUAUUACAUGGAAUACCAAUUGCGAAGGCAGGUUACUACUAGUGGAUUGACGCUGAUGGACGAAAGCGUGGGGAGCGAACAGG
rnacentral:rRNA from 1 species